CGUAAGGACAUGUGGAGCGCUUAGAAGUGAGAAUGCCGGUAUGAGUAGCGAAAGACGGGUGAGAAUCCCGUCCACCGAAUAACUAAGGUUUCCUGGGGAAGGCUCGUCCUCCCAGGGUUAGUCGGGACCUAAGGCGAGGCCGAUAGGCGUAGUCGAUGGACAACAGGUUGAUAUUCCUGUACUUCUAUAAAUCGUUUGAGCAAUGGAGGGACGCAGGAGGCUAAGAAAAGCGUACGACUGGAAGUGUACGCCCAAGCAGUGAGUCGGCUGAUGAGUCAAAUGCUUAUCACGGAUGCGACAAGCUGUGACGGGGAGGGAAGUUUAGUACCGAAGUUUCUGAUGUCACACUGCCGAGAAAAGCUUCUAGCAAGAUUUAUAGGACCCGUACCGCAAACCGACACAGGUAGUUGAGGAGAGAAUCCUAAGGUGAGCGAGCGAACUCUCGUUAAGGAACUCGGCAAAAUGACCCCGUAACUUCGGGAGAAGGGGUGCUGGUAGCAAUACCAGCCGCAGUGAAUAGGCCCAGGCGACUGUUUAUCAAAAACACAGGUCUCUGCAAAAUCGAAAGAUGACGUAUAGGGGCUGACGCCUGCCCGGUGCUGGAAGGUUAAGAGGAGAGGUUAGCCGCAAGGCGAAGCUUUGAAUUGAAGCCCCAGUAAACGGCGGCCGUAACUAUAACGGUCCUAAGGUAGCGAAAUUCCUUGUCGGGUAAGUUCCGACCCGCACGAAAGGCGUAACGAUUUGGGCACUGUCUCAACGAUGGACUCGGUGAAAUCAUAGUACCUGUGAAGAUGCAGGUUACCCGCGACAGGACGGAAAGACCCCAUGGAGCUUUACUGUAGUUUGAUAUUGAGUGUUUGUGUCACAUGUACAGGAUAGGUAGGAGCUGAAGAAUCCGGGACGCCAGUUUCGGAGGAGGCAACGGUGGGAUACUACCCUUGUGACAUGACCACUCUAACCCGCACCCCUCACCGGGGUGGGAGACAGUGUCAGACGGGCAGUUUGACUGGGGCGGUCGCCUCCUAAAAUGUAACGGAGGCGCCCAAAGGUUCCCUCAGAAUGGUUGGAAAUCAUUCGUAGAGUGUAAAGGCAGAAGGGAGCUUGACUGCGAGACCAACAAGUCGAGCAGGGACGAAAGUC
rnacentral:rRNA from 1 species